CCCUUGCCAGUUAAGGGGCUACGGAACCAGAGGGGCUGUUCUGAAUUUUAUGGUGAUAUUGGUCAGCUGAUCUGGCACUGCUGGACAAAGACAAAGAGGAAGUUCAGAGCAUGAACGAUUACCUGCCCUCCCUCCUGAAGGAGACCUCAGCCCAGU